rnacentral:rRNA from 1 species
GAGUUUGAUCCUGGCUCAGGAUGAACGCUGGCGGCGUGCUUAACACAUGCAAGUCGAACGAAGCACUUUACCUGAUUUCCUUCGGGGAUGAUUGUUCUGUGACUGAGUGGCGGACGGGUGAGUAACGCGUGGAUAACCUGCCUCAUACAGGGGGAUAACAGUUAGAAAUGACUGCUAAUACCGCAUAAGACCACAGCACCGCAUGGUGCAGGGGUAAAAACUCCGGUGGUAUGAGAUGGACCCGCGUCUGAUUAGGUAGUUGGUGGGGUAACGGCCUACCAAGCCGACGAUCAGUAGCCGACCUGAGAGGGUGACCGGCCACAUUGGGACUGAGACACGGCCCAAACUCCUACGGGAGGCAGCAGUGGGGAAUAUUGCACAAUGGGGGAAACCCUGAUGCAGCGACGCCGCGUGAGCGAUGAAGUAUUUCGGUAUGUAAAGCUCUAUCAGCAGGGAAGAAAAUGACGGUACCUGAUUAAGAAGCACCGGCUAAAUACGUGCCAGCCGCCGCGGUAAUAC